rnacentral:rRNA from 1 species
AGCUCCAAUAGCGUAUAUUAAAGUUGUUGCGGUUAAAAGCUCGUAGUUGGAUUUCUGCUGAGGACGACCGGUCCGCCCUCUGGGUGAGUAUCUGGCUCGGCCUGGGCAUCUUCUUGGAGAACGUAGCUGCACUUGACUGUGUGGUGCGGUAUCCAAGACCUUUACUUUGAGGAAAUUAGAGUGUUUCAAGCAGGCACACGCCUUGAAUACAUUAGCAUGGAAUAAUGCUGUAAGACCAUGGUAUUGCUGUGUUGGUUUCUAUCACCUAAGGUAAUGAUAAACAGGGAUAGUUGGGGGCAUUCGUAUUUAACUGUCAGAGGUGAAAUUCUUGGAUUUGUUAAAGACGAACGACUGCGAAAGCAUUUGCCAAGGAUGUUUUCA